rnacentral:lncRNA from 1 species
CAAAAGUUUGGCCUCUAUUUGACGAGCAGGUUGUCUUAGAAAAUCGACAGCUGAAAGUGACUAUUUCAAUUCUUAUAAUCAAGAGCUACAAACUUCUUCUAGCUCCAAAACGAGGCAGGUAAUGCAACUUAUGCAAGUAAGUGGAGGAUGCCCAAAAGAUUCAGAAGGGUGUGAUGACUGCUUUGAAAAGGCAUCACUUCCUAACAUAAGCGAAGAGGAGAAAAGGAAGAUCCUUCACUUUGUGAUUAUUGGUAGUGGACCCACUGGGGUUGAAUUUGGUGCAGAGCUGCAUGUUUUUCUUAUCGAAGAUAUGGUGAAGCUAUAUCCUGCAAUUGAAGAAUUUUUGAAGAUAAGAAUUAUUCAGCAAGGAGAACAUAUAUUGAAUAUGUAGGUCACUAUUAACUUACCAGAUAAUGAGCAUUCAUCAAUCCUGCAGUAAUAGCUAAAAAACUAUUAUAUGACAGCCGCUCAUCACUAAGAAUAUGUUUUGGCAUGAAUAACAAUCCUCCAGGGAAAUUAAUGUACUUAAAAGUCAGCUUCCAUGCGCAGAUAAUGAGUUUGUACUGCUGGUUCACAUAUAGGAGACUAGAACAUGCAUGCUGCAGGUAGUGUGCUCCCAGCUAAUCAUCUCCUGGGAUAAUACUCAAAUAGUGUCAGAGAAAAUGAACAAUUUGAACAUUUAUUAUUAUUAGGAAAACAGUUUAGUCAUUAAAAGUGGAACAUAUAUCCUGAUCAUUGAUUUCUUACCAGGAUACAUUGAACAAAACCACCUUACCUCCAUGCUCCAAACAAUGCUAGCGUAGGAUUAAUUCUUACCAAAUAUUAUUAGUAGUUUCUGGAUUGUGGCAGAUUCCUUCCUGAUCUUCAUCCAUUUUGCUUUUCUUUUUAAGUGGAUGUUCCUGACUUCUAUGAAAUUAUCACGCUUACUGUAGACAUUGCAAUUUUAUUGGGAAUACGACAUUUUGUUGAUUUGACAAGGAAAUUUUUCCUACUGUUUCAGUAUCCAUGCCUUUCGUUGUAGCGUCAGUAGAUCUUCUCUUUUCUCCAUGUUUACUAUGAGAUGAUAUAUCUAUUUCUAUAAAGGAUAGCUGUGUUUGCUGAAACAAAGUUCCAAAGAGAUGACAUCGAGUUGAGUAUGGAUUCAGAGUGAUAAAGGUCUCUGGUGGAGGAUCAUUGGUGUCAUAUGGGAUGGACGUUCGGUCUACUGGCAUAGGUGCUCGUCCCUUGACUGGACUGGUGUGAUGGAGCCAUGGAGAUGAAGUGUUUGUCAAAUUUCUUGCAAGGGUCGCUACUUGCUUGCUGCCAUAAUAUUUAAACAAUUGUUGAUUUUCUAAAAUGUGUUUUCGGCAUUAGUAGACUCACUUUUGAUGUGUUGGUAUUAGAAUGAAACGUACUUACCAUUUCAAUUUGCAUCUACAGUCUAAUGCUUAUGGUUUUGAAGUACACAUCGCUGCAUAGUUACUAACGUAUGGUUCAUAUAGAACUUGAUGAAUUGCAGAGUUAUAAUUUCAUGAUCUCACAAGUUACUAAAAUCAAAAGUUUGGCUUCUAUUUGAUGAGCAGGUUCUCUUAGAAAAUCAACAACUGAAGGAGAAUGUUUUAAUUCCUAUAAUCAACGGUACAAAGUGGAAGUGGCUGCGAGCACACCACCGUCCGUGCACCUGUCCUUCCUCACUCCAACAUCAGAUGACCCAUCGACCAUGGCCAUUGUCCCAUGCGUGGCCAAUAAAUUUUACACUGCUGAGGGGAGCGACCAGCUCGUGGUUGUGGUGUCUGGUUGCUCCAUCUGGGGUUUGGCGUUUUUUGAACAGGUGCACCACACCAUCCACUGCCGAUCAAUGCCUCUCUUAUUCGGAUAGGAUCAUCUUUCGGUCUGGUCAGUUUCAUAUAUUAAAUUAGGCCCAAAUCGAGUGGUUUCUCGAGGUCAGAUGUGAGAAAAUCGGAUGAGAAUUGGGGGUCUGGGCAGCACCUGGGUCUGUCAUUGAGGCUUCUCUUUCUCUCGCGUUGCAGGUUGAUUUGACUCCGCAUAGCGUCUGCGUCCUCACCUCGCUCAAGGUAUGUUUUUUUGCUCUUUCCUCCUGUAGUGGAAAUUAUGUUUAAAUCGUGCCGCUUACUGUCCCACCUAUUAACCUGCACAAGCCAUAAUGCUUUUGUAUGUUAUAUGUUUUGCUUAAUUGACAUGUUGUGAUGUGUUCAUGUGGUUAGCAUUUCAUGAAUCUGAGAACUUUGUUUUUUUAGAAGAUUAUCUGAGAACUUCGUUAGUUCAUGCUAGUGGUCACUGCUUCAAUGAUCACCUAUAUCCAAAAUCUUUUUGUCAGGAUGUAUAGUCAUGCGCCUUGCAAAAUUGUGCCAGUUUUUGCAAAUAUGUAAAAUAGGUGUCACUGUAUCAGAUUAUCUGUAAUAGGGUCUCUAUAGUUCUAAAAUCCUAACCAUUUUGUUGUGAAGUGCACAUGUUUCCUGCAAGUGGUAUCCUAUAUUGGAUGUGCUUUGUACAUGCGUAUUUGUCAUGUCGAACUGCUGCUGUUACUUAUAUAGACCUAUUAUUUUAGGUUAAAAAUGUUGGCUUGGAGCCUAUCCCUAAAGUCUUGCUGGCUUUUCUGAACAUCCAAGCAAAAAACAUGGCAGUGAUCAGAGCAUUUGGUACUGAGGGAAAAGUGAAGGGUCUGAGUAGUGUUCUUUCAAUUGAAGUUGUUGAGCCUUCUGGUGUGCCCCCAGAACCGGCUUUCUUUCAGCAUCAUUAAACAAAGCUUUGAAUACUAUGCUAGCAGUUUGUAGUUGUGCUCUAAAUACAUGUUCCCCUACUUGUAAUCGCCACUUUUUGUUUGUUUCUGCAUUAAUUAGUGGAUCUAAGGUAGUUAGACACACAUUGACUAUAAUUGGUCAUCUCUACUAAGACAUGAGUGGCAUCAGGACACAUGUGCUACGAAUCAUAUCCAAAAGCAAUGAAAAGGGUGCCUACAACCUGGCGCCGCACAAGCUCCCUCUGAGGAGGCGCCACGGGGUGGCGCCCCAACUGCUAGUAUAUAUGCGUAUAUGCAUAUUCCCUGUGGAGGCACACACACGUACUACCCGUGUGAGCAUCUUCGAGAGACGUUUUCAUUGACAACGAGGCGUCUACGGUGACUUCGUAAAUGUAAGAUGGUAUGCCCGUGCAAUGUUGCUGUUAGAAAAAUUGCCGUCUUAAAAAAAAGUUCCCGUGCAAUGAGAUAAAACAAUAAUAAACAUAAUAACAUUUAUAAUGACUAGAAAAUUAUCCCGCAAAAAAUGACUAGAAAAUUAUCCAUGUGUUGCAACAGAGCAUAAAAUAUUAUUUUCUUUAACAGUAAUUGUCUCAAACAUGUAGUAUCACAUGAAUAGCGUGCCCCGAGCCUGCAAUAACUAGGGAUGGCAAUGGGUACCUAUUACGCAUGUACUUUGCGGGUAAAAACUCUAUUAGGGCAAGGGUAUGAGUAAAAAAAUACUCAUGAAUAUGUAAAUAGGAAAAUUUCACACCCAUUGGGUAUAGUGGGUACGGGUAUGGUUUAGUAUAACCCAUACUCAUGUAUCAAUGUACCCGCAUAUAUUCUGACAAAUAGACCUUACAUAUUAUUUAUUUACAUAUUAAACAUAUUAUAUGUACAUAAAUCCCGCAGCCCUAAAAAGCCCCGAUCAUGCAUUCAUGUUAGGCCACCUCACCACAAUAGUUAGCCCACGAACGAGUAUGCAUUGUUGUCAUGAUGUGUUGUUGUUUAUAAAUUAUUAUUAUUAUUAUAAGUUGUUGUUUAUGACUAUGUAAUGCUCCAAUUGAUGUGUUGUAAAUCUGGGCAAUUUUACCCGCGGGUACCCAUUUAUCUUGAUGGGUGACGGGUGAUGAGGAUAUCAAUACCAUUGUUACACCCACAGCCCCUAAUGUUAUACAUACUGGACCAAUUACUAGAGCUCGCGUACGCCAAUUGAAUUAUCAGGUACUUUCGUUUCUUGGUAACGAUUCUAAUGUUUAUAAGAAUAUGAUGCUGCCUAAAUUAGAUACAUUUGUUUUGCUUACAAAUGAAGGGCCUAGCUUGGACAAGAAAGAUGAACCUUGGAGCAAGUUCAAGCAUGGAGAUGAUGGCAUGCGCAAGGAGAACAAGAACGGAGUUACAAGUGAUGAUUCCAGGACUUUGAAGCCACCAUAAUGAGUGCAUGAAGCCUUGGACAAAAUAUACAAGAUGCCACUUCAUAAAUUUUGUCCAGAGACUAUUUUAGGUGAUGCAUCACCUUAUUAUUGGGUCAGGCCCAUGUAUUUUCGAAGUACUUAAGUAUAGGCUAUUUUUAGAGUCCGUAUGUGUGGGGAAACAAGAGUUAGUGUUGGUUUCGGACCCCUCCACCAAAGGGCAGCGAAAUUUCCCCUUUCUCCUCCAUAUAUACAGCCCUUAGGGCAUCGUUUAGACUUUGGGUUUUGUUUAGAUUAAAAGUUCGCCAUAGCUGCAACUUCGCGUACUUCGUUUGUGUCCAACGACCAGACCAAGACGUCACAGAACCCCACCUUGAUCAAUAAAGCUUUCAUCUUAUAUUCGCAAUAUCCAGAUUGCAAUCUCAGUUUCUUACUUGUUCUUCGUUUGCUCGCAGGAAACAGACCCUCGUGGUCAGGUUGAUCGUGCUCCGGCGUGGUCAAUGACCCCUCAGAAGUUGGUUUAGCGAUUGCUAAGGCGCGACGUCUCGCACGUUCGUAGUCGGAUCGUCAAGGUCGACUCUCACAGAAACGAUAGCCACCAUCUCAUCGAAACAUCGGGACACCUUUAUCUCUAUCAAGUGGUGUCAGAUUUCCAGGUUGAUCGGUGAGAUUUUACAGUUUUUCGUAGUUUAGAUCGAGUCUAUUCUUCAUACCUACAAUCCAUGAAAAAAGCCAAAAAAAAUUAGGGUUAGUUCAUCAUAUCCGAACCAAUCUGAGCCUUUGCAUAGUCUUUUCAGUAUUUUGCUUUGUUGAAUUUGCGGUUGCAUCGUCGUGUCUAGUUGCUGGUCUUAGAGUCUAGUCUUUUAGAGUUUCGAGUUCUGGUCAUAAGUUGUCACGCCACCGCUGCACCAUCAUCAUCGAUCCGUAUCCAUAUACCACCACCAAUCCGUCUCCAUAUAUCAUCAUCAAUCUGUAUCCAUAUACCACCACCGCUGCCAUAUCCUACCAUCAUAUAUCCACUACCAAUUCGAGUUCCUUUCAUAUUAGGUUUGUUUUCGAGGUCCGUCUAAUUUCCGAUUCGUGUCCCCUUGCCUGAGUAGGUCUCGGGAAAAAAAGUCUGGAGACCCCGGGCAGUUUUUAGGCCAAAAUUUUCGCAGGCAAAAAUAUUUUUUCCCUAUCCUUUUUUUAGGCUUUUUCGAGUCUUUUGAGCCACGUGCCAUCAUAGUGAUUUUUUGUCGCACUUUUUCGUCGUCGCUACCCUGAUUUCCAAAAAAAAGUCAAAAAAAAAAUUCGUGCCCAUCCUAUCAGUUUGACGAGGGAAGAGUUUUGAGACACUCGCCAUUAUAGUGAUUUUUUGCAAAAAAAGAGGAGCGCAAAAAAAGAGCGAAAAAAAAGUUCCAGAGUGUGAUUUUCCCUUGUUAACAUGCAGCGCCGUGAUUUUGUUAGUGUUCUAGGCUCGUGUCUCUAGCACGGUCUAGCCUAGGACCAGCAUAGUACCAUCGUUGAGCGUUUAUUCAACUUUGCAUCUCUGAAUUGAUUAUUGCUGACCCUUUUUGCUACCAUAUUAUAAGUCUUCCCAGCUCCACAUACAUCUACUCGUGCGUUUGACUCUCCCUGGUAAUCGCUCUAUCAAAGUUUUGAGAGUUUUGACUACGACGGUUGCCGAUCACCGCCUGCUGCUGGGUAAGAACUAGUAAGAAUUUGAGAUUUGCUUGAUGGAUUUGUGACAUCCACCACCACCUCUUGUUAGCAGUCUGUAGGAUCAUAUUCUUGUGUUUCUAUUGCUGCUAACCAUGCCAGGAUCACAAGCCGACGAGACUGACUGGGAGAACCUGACGAAUAAGGAGUUGCAUGAUAAAUUUCAGCAAAUGAUGAGUGGACAAGUGCAAGAUGUGCUAAACAGAUUUGAAGAGGCCAUGGAGAAGAUAGAUGGCAUGGAGAAGACGUUUGAAACAAAGCUCGAUAAUAGGUUUAAUGAAUUGCUCGCGCGUCUUCCACCACCACCACCGGCUUCCCCUAACGCACAUCUACAACAACAACAACAACAACAACAACAACAACAACAACAACAACAACAACAACAACGUCGCUUUCCAAAUCAAGUGGGACGAGCACAACACAUUCCCAUUGACCCUAGGCAAAAUUUUGGUGCCGCUGUUGAUGCUUCUGCCGCUCCUGCUGCUACUGCAGAGGUGGAGGACCAUUACGAGGAUGAGGUUGACCAAAAUCAGAACUACGUGCAACCACCAGCACCACCACCACCAGGUCGUCCUCAUGCAUAUCAUCGCAAUGGUAGGGCUGCACCACCACCUGAGGUACAUGACCAUCUUCGUAAACUAAAAUUGAAUAUUUCACCAUUUGAGGGUAGAUAUGUUCCUGAUAUAUAUCUUACUUGGGAGUUAGAAACUGAACAACGAUUUACAUGUUUACAAUAUCCUGAGGAGAGACGUGUUCCUGCUGCUGUUUGUGCUUUCACUAGAUUUGCAUGUGUUUGGUGGUCUGAACAUUGUAGAUUAUAUCCUAUUCCAGCUACUUGGGCUGCUUUGAAAACUGCUAUGCGUACUCGUUGGGUUCCCCCAUAUUAUCAACGUGAAUUACUUCAAAAAUUACAGCGUUUAAGACAAGGAAAAAAUUAUGUAGAAGAAUAUUAUCAGGAAUUACAAACUGGCAUGAUUAGAUGUGGUAUUGUUGAGGAGAAUGAAGCUAUGCUUGCACGUUUUAUGGGUGAAUUAAAUAGAGAGAUUCAUACCAUUCUAGAGUAUAAGGAGUAUACUAAUAUCACUCGUUUAUUCCAUCUUGCGUGUAAAGCUGAACGUGAAGUGCAGGAUCGAUAGGCAUUGGUGCGAACUAACUUUUCUGCAGGUCGAUCUUCAUCAUGGACACCACACGCAUCAUCUACUUCCACUCCACCAGCACCUCCAUCAGGUGCCACCUCCAGCCGUGAUACAAGAAAGCAGGCACAACCACCACUAUCUGCCAAGAGCACACCUGUCGGGCCUGCGCAGAGCUCUUCUUCUUCCAUGGCAUCAACAGGGCACACAAGUGAUAUUAUUUGUCGUCGUUGUAAGGGAAGAGGACAUUUUGCGAGAGAAUGCCAAUCUCAGCGUGUGAUGAUUGCUACUGAGGAUGGUGGGUAUGAGUCCGCUAGUGACUAUGAUGAGGAGACUUUGGCUCUUAUUACACGUGAAGAACACGGUGGAGAUGAUUCUGAUCAUGAGACGCAAUACAUGGCUCCUGAAGAUGCUAACAGGUAUGAAUGUUUAGUUGCUCAAUGUGUUUUGAGUGUGCAGGUCACACAAGCUGAGCAAAAUCAGAGGCAUAAUUUGUUCCAUACAAAGGGAGUUGUGAAGGAACGUUCUGUUCGCGUCAUCAUAGAUGGAGGGAGCUGCAACAACUUGGCUAGCAUGGAGAUGGUGGAGAAGCUAUCUCUCACCACAAGACCACAUCCACAUCCUUACUACAUCCAAUGGUUCAACAACAGCGGCAAGGUUAAGGUAACACGUACUGUUCGUGUGCAUUUUAGUAUCUCUACAUAUGCUGAUUAUGUUGAUUGUGAUGUGGUACAUAUGCAAGCAUGUUCCUUAUUACUAGGUAGACCAUGGCAAUUUGAUAAAAAAUCUGUACACCAUGGUAGAAACAAUCAGUAUACUCUUGUUCAUAAGGAUAAAAAUAUUACUUUGCUUCCUAUGACUCCUGAUUCUAUUUUGAAAGAUGGUAUUAAUAGAGCUAAUAAAGCAAAACAGGAGAACAAUAAGAGUGAAAAUCAGAUUGUGGCAAAAGAAUUUGAGCAACAAAUGAAGCCUAAUAAUAAACCAUCUAGUGUUGCUUCUGAAAUUAAAUUGAAAAGUGCAUGUUUACUUGCCACCAAAUCUGAUAUUGAUGAUCUAGAUUUUAGCAAAUCUGUUUGCCAUGCUUUUGUGUGCAAAGAGGCAUUAUUUUCAUUCGAGGACGUGCCUUCCUCUUUGCCUCCUGCUGUCACUAACAUUUUGCAGGAGUUUGCUGACGUCUUUCCACAAGACGUGCCACCGGGAUUACCACCUGUUCGAGGGAUUGAGCAUCAAAUUGACUUAAUUCCCGGUGCAUCAUUACCCAACCGUGCGCCAUACCGUACCAAUCCAAAGGAGAUGAAGGAGAUUAUGCGUC